rnacentral:rRNA from 1 species
CCCUUCGGGGACAUUGGUGACAGGUGGUGCAUGGUUGUCGUCAGCUCGUGUCGUGAGAUGUUGGGUUAAGUCCCGCAACGAGCGCAACCCUUGUCUUUAGUUGCCAUCAUUAAGUUGGGCACUCUAGAGAGACUGCCAGGGAUAACCUGGAGGAAGGUGGGGAUGACGUCAAAUCAUCAUGCCCCUUAUGCUUAGGGCUACACACGUGCUACAAUGGGUAGUACAGAGGGUUGCCAAGCCGUAAGGUGGAGCUAAUCCCUUAAAGCUACUCUCAGUUCGGAUUGUAGGCUGAAACUCGCCUACAUGAAGCUGGAGUUACUAGUAAUCGCAGAUCAGAAUGCUGCGGUGAAUGCGUUCCCGGGUCUUGUACACACCGCCCGUCACACCACGGGAGUUGGAGACGCCCGAAGCCGAUUAUCUAACCUUUUGGAAGAAGUCGUCGAAGGUGGAAUCAAUAACUGGGGUGAAGUCGUAACAAGGUAGCCGUAUCGGAAGGUGCGGCUGGAUC